CGCUGGUUUGUUUGUUUGUUUGUCUGUGAGCAACUUUAUGGAGAAAGCAACAGACGGAUUGACCUGAAAUUUUCACCAGAGGUGCGUCUCAGCCCCAGGAGGAUCCCAUUACAUUUUGGUGGUGAUCCAGACAAAAUUCUGGAUACUGUGAUCCAGAACACACAAAAAUAAGGGUGUGGUUGGAAUUUUCAAUGCUGAAAGAUAACCAAUGGGCGGCACAGUGGUGUAGUGGUUAGCACUGUCACCUCACAGCAAGAAGGUCCUGGGUUUGAAUCCGGGUCAGGGCAUUUCUUGUUUUAGGAACAUUAUGAACAGUGAACAUACCAGUUUAAACACAAAUAAAAGUUAAUAAAAGACACGUAACAGUAAAAGUUUUGGUGUGAAUCACAAUAUAAGGGGGGACAUGAGCUGCUUGGUGGAGGU
rnacentral:lncRNA from 1 species